GAUUAACGCUGGCGGCGUGCCUAACACAUGCAAGUCGAGCGGCAGCGAGUUUUACACUGACUUCUGGAAGCUUCUAGUUGAAAGAGAAGAUUUAUUCAAGAAUUUUGUGUAAAAUGUCGGCGAGCGGCGGACGGCUGAGUAACGCGUGGGAACGUACCCCAAAGUGAGGGAUAACGCAUCGAAAGGUGUGCUAAUACCGCAUAUGGUCUUCGGAUUAAAGCCUUCGGGCGCUUUGGGAACGGCCUGCGUAAGAUUAGAUAGUUGGUGGGGUAAUGGCCUACUAAGUCGACGAUCUUUAACUGGUUUGAGAGGAUGAUCAGUCAGACUGGAACUGGGACACGGUCCAGACUCCUACGGGAGGCAGCAGUGAGGAAUCUUCCACAAUGGGCGAAAGCCUGAUGGAGCAACGCCGCGUGCAGGAUGAAGGCCUUCGGGUUGUAAACUGCUUUUAUAAGUGAGGAUUAUGACAGUAACUUAUGAAUAAGGAUCGGCUAACUACGU
rnacentral:rRNA from 1 species